rnacentral:rRNA from 1 species
AUUGAACGCUGGCGGAAUGCUUUACACAUGCAAGUCGAACGGUAGAGGGGGCAACCCCUCGAGAGUGGCGAACGGGUGAGUAAUAUAUCGGAACGUGCCCAGUCGUGGGGGAUAACGUAGCGAAAGUUACGCUAAUACCGCAUACGAUCUACGGAUGAAAGCGGGGGACUCGCAAGAGCCUCGCGCGAUUGGAGCGGCCGAUAUCAGAUUAGGUAGUUGGUGGGGUAAAGGCUCACCAAGCCAACGAUCUGUAGCUGGUCUGAGAGGACGACCAGCCACACUGGAACUGAGACACGGUCCAGACUCCUACGGGAGGCAGCAGUGGGGAAUUUUGGACAAUGGACGCAAGUCUGAUCCAGCCAUUCCGCGUGCAGGAUGAAGGCCCUCGGGUUGUAAAGCUCUUUCGCAAGGGAGAAACUUAUGAUCGAAUAAAUCAUGAGUUGACGGUACCUUGAUAAGAGCACCGGCUAACUACGUG